rnacentral:rRNA from 1 species
UGGGGAAUAUUGCACAAUGGGCGCAAGCCUGAUGCAGCCAUGCCGCGUGUAUGAAGAAGGCCUUCGGGUUGUAAAGUACUUUCAGCGGGGAGGAAGGGAGUAAAGUUAAUACCUUUGCUCAUUGACGUUACCCGCAGAAGAAGCACCGGCUAACACCGUGCCAGCAGCCGCGGUAAUACGGAGGGUGCAAGCGUUAAUCGGAAUUACUGGGCGUAAAGCGCACGCAGGCGGUUUGUUAAGUCAGAUGUGAAAUCCCCGGGCUUAACCCGGGAAUUGCAUCUGAUACUGGUCAGCUAGAGUCUUGUAGAGGGGGGUAGAAUUCCAUGUGUAGCGGUGAAAUGCGUAGAGAUGUGGAGGAAUACCGGUGGCGAAGGCGGCCCCCUGGACAAAGACUGACGCUCAGGUGCGAAAGCGUGGGGAGCAAACAGG